AAAGGUUUGGCCUAAUAAGCUGAGCUCAUGACGGUACCGUAAGAAUAAGCACCGGCUAACUACGUGCCAGCAGCCGCGGUAAUACGUAGGGUGCGAGCGUUAAUCGGAAUUACUGGGCGUAAAGCGUGCGCAGGCGGUUAUGUAAGACAGAUGUGAAAUCCCCGGGCUCAACCUGGGAACUGCAUUAGUGACUGCAUAGCUGGAGUACGGCAGAGGGGGAUGGAAUUCCGCGUGUAGCAGUGAAAUGCGUAGAUAUGCGGAGGAACACCGAUGGCGAAGGCAAUCCCCUGGGCCUGUACUGACGCUCAUGCACGAAAGCGUGGGGAGCAAACAGGAUUAGAUACCCUGGUAGUCCACGCCCUAAA
rnacentral:rRNA from 1 species